rnacentral:tRNA from 1 species
GCCUGGAUGGCUCAGACGGUUAAGCAUCUGACUUCGGCUCAGGUCACGAUCUUGAAGUUCGUGGGUUCGAGCCCUGCGUCGGGCU